rnacentral:piRNA from 1 species
UNGCAAGCAGGACCUGCCAGUGUUUGC